GUGAGAACUACCAGGCUGUGUGUGAACACCGCUGUAACAUACAGUGUGAUCAGGAUGAAGAACUUGUUGACAACACACCUGAGGAUGGCUGUUGUUACUGUCAGUCUACAGUGACAACACCUGAGCCACCAACAACAGAGGAGC